rnacentral:rRNA from 1 species
GACGAACGCUGGCGGCGUGCCUAAUACAUGCAAGUAGAACGCUGAAGGAGGAGCUUGCUCUUCUGGAUGAGUUGCGAACGGGUGAGUAACGCGUAGGUAACCUGCCUGUUAGCGGGGGAUAACUAUUGGAAACGAUAGCUAAUACCGCAUAACAGUUGUUGUUGCAUGACAUUUACUUAAAAGGUGCAAUUGCAUCACUACCAGAUGGACCUGCGUUGUAUUAGUUAGUUGGUGGGGUAACGGCUCACCAAGGCGACGAUACUUCGCCGACCUGAGAGGGUGAUCGGCCACACUGGGAAUGAGACACGGCCCAGACUCCCACGGGAGGCAGCAGUAGGGAAACUUCGGCAAUGGAGGGAAGUCUGACCGAGCAACGCCGCGUGAGUGAAGAAGGUUUUCGGAUCGUAAAGCUCGGUUGUAAGAGAAGAACGAGUGUGAGAGUGGAAAGUUCACACUGUGACGGUAUCUUACCAGAAAGGGACGGCUAACUACGUG